GACGAACCGUGCGAACGUUGUUCGGAUUCACUGGGCUUAAAGGGCGCGUAGGCGGGCGACCAAGUCAGGGGUGAAAUCUUUCGGCCCAACCGGAAAAGUGCCCCUGAUACUGGCCGCCUCGAGGGGGGUAGGGGCAUGCGGAACUUCCGGUGGAGCGGUGAAAUGCGUAGAUAUCGGAAGGAACGCCGGUGGCGAAAGCGGCGCGCUGGACCACUACUGACGCUGAGGAACGAAAGCUAGGGGAGCAAACAGG
rnacentral:rRNA from 1 species